AACGAACGCUGGCGGCAGGCUUAACACAUGCAAGUCGAACGCAUCCUUCGGGGUGAGUGGCAGACGGGUGAGUAACGCGUGGGAAUCUACCCAGUUCUGCGGAACAACAGUUGGAAACGACUGCUAAUACCGCAUACGCCCUACGGGGGAAAGAUUUAUCGGAAUUGGAUGAGCCCGCGUUGGAUUAGCUAGUUGGUGAGGUAACGGCUCACCAAGGCGACGAUCCAUAGCUGGUCGGAGAGGAGGAUCAGCCACACUGGGCCUGAGACACGGCCCAUACUCCUACGGGAGGCAGCAGUGGGGACUAUUGGACAAUGGGCGCAAGCCUGAGCCAGCCAUGCCGCGUGAGUGAUGAAGGCCUUAGGGUUGUAAAGCUCUUUCAGUGGGUAAGAUAAUGACGGUACCCACAGAAGAAGCCCCGGCUAACUUCGUGCCAGCCGCCGCAGUAAUAC
rnacentral:rRNA from 1 species